rnacentral:hammerhead_ribozyme from 1 species
CCACUGCUGAAGAGUUCUAUCCUAGGACGAAACGGACGUCCAGUGG